rnacentral:rRNA from 1 species
UGGGGAAUAUUGGACAAUGGGCGCAAGCCUGAUCCAGCAAUGCCGCGUGUGUGAAGAAGGCCUUCGGGUUGUAAAGCACUUUUAUCAGGAGCGAAACGCUGUCGGCUAAUACCCGGCGGAACUAACGGUACCUGAGGAAUAAGCACCGGCUAACUUCGUGCCAGCAGCCGCGGUAAUACGAAGGGUGCAAGCGUUAAUCGGAAUUACUGGGCGUAAAGCGUGCGUAGGCGGUUUCUUAAGUCUGCUGUGAAAUCCCCGGGCUCAACCUGGGAAUGGCAGUGGAUACUGGGAGGCUAGAGUGUGUCAGAGGGUGGUGGAAUUCCCGGUGUAGCGGUGAAAUGCGUAGAGAUCGGGAGGAACAUCAGUGGCGAAGGCGGCCACCUGGGACAACACUGACGCUGAGGCACGAAAGCGUGGGGAGCAAACAGGAUUAGAUACCCUGGUAGUCCACGCCCUAAACGAUGCGAACUGGAUGUUGGUCUCAACUCGGAGAUCAGUGUCGAAGCUAACGCGUUAAGUUCGCCGCCUGGGGAGUACGGUCGCAAGACUGAAACUCAAAUGAAUUGACGGGGUCAUAGC